UACGUAGGCAGCGAGCGUUGUUCGGAAUUACUGGGCGUAAAGAGUGUGUAGGCGGUGUUCCAAGUCUGGUGUGAAAUCUCCCGGCUUAACUGGGAGGGUGCGCCGGAAACUGGAAUGCUCGAGGGUGGGAGAGGUAAGCGGAAUUCCUGGUGUAGCGGUGAAAUGCGUAGAUAUCAGGAGGAACACCUGUGGUGUAGACAGCUUACUGGACCACUUCUGACGCUGAGACACGAAAGCGUGGGUAGCAAACAG
rnacentral:rRNA from 1 species